GGGAAGGUGGCUCAGUGGUAGAGCGCUCGCCUUGCACGCAUGAGGCCCUGGGUU
rnacentral:tRNA from 1 species